UGGAAUAAACUUUAUGAAACGUAAACAAUACCUUUUAGAAUAUCUUUUUCAGAAUAAAUUUUCAGAACAAGUUUUCUGGAACACAAUUCAUGUGUUCUGGAUAGGACUUUUUAGAACAAUUUUAUUUUGUGCUUUUCUUUUGUGAGGGAGAAACGGGGUAUUUUGGUCAUUUCAUCCAAUUGGGAGGUGCAGGUUAAAAAUGGGGAGUGCAGGUUAAAAAUGGGGAGUGCAGGAAGUAAUUAUCUUUAAAAAAACAUCUUGGGACAUAUAAAAGAUUU
rnacentral:lncRNA from 1 species